AGUGAACGCUGGCGGUAGGCCUAACACAUGCAAGUCGAACGGCAGCACAGUAAGAGCUUGCUCUUACGGGUGGCGAGUGGCGGACGGGUGAGGAAUACAUCGGAAUCUACUUUUUCGUGGGGGAUAACGUAGGGAAACUUACGCUAAUACCGCAUACGACCUACGGGUGAAAGCAGGGGAUCUUCGGACCUUGCGCGAUUGAAUGAGCCGAUGUCGGAUUAGCUAGUUGGCGGGGUAAAGGCCCACCAAGGCGACGAUCCGUAGCUGGUCUGAGAGGAUGAUCAGCCACACUGGAACUGAGACACGGUCCAGACUCCUACGGGAGGCAGCAGUGGGGAAUAUUGGACAAAGGGCGCAAGCCUGAUCCAGCCAUGCCGCGUGGGUGAAGAAGGCCUUCGGGUUGUAAAGCCCUUUUGUUGGGAAAGAAAAGCAGCAGGUUAAUACCCCGCUGUUCUGACGGUACCCAAAGAAUAAGCACCGGCUAACUUCGUG
rnacentral:rRNA from 1 species